rnacentral:rRNA from 1 species
AUGAUGAAGCAUAUUCAUCUUGAAGGAGAUGUAGUCUACAAGGGUUAUCCUUUCAUGGAGAAUGUAGUCGAACUUUGGUACGUGGAGGUACACCUCCACCGUGUGAAGGGAGUUUACCCAAAGACUAUGGGGCAAUACUUUUUCAUUUCUCGAGUACCACGAGCAACAUUCUUCAACUCUAUUCGUGAAGCUGCUAUGGAAGCCAUGUUGGGGAACGUAGCAGAAAAUCAAAAUUUUCCUACGUGUCACCAAGAUCUAUCUAUGGAGAAACCAGCAACGAGGGGAAGGAGAGUGCAUCUACAUACCGUUGUAGAUCGCGCGCGGAAGCGUUCAAGAGAACGGGGUUGA